CCUACGGGUGGCUGCAGUGGGGAAUAUUGCACAAUGGGCGCAGGCCUGAUGCAGCCAUGCCGCGUGUGUGAAGAAGGCCUUCGGGUUGUAAAGCACUUUCAGCGGGGAGGAAGGCAGUGAGGUUAAUAACCUCAUCGAUUGACGUUACCCGCAGAAGAAGCACCGGCUAACUCCGUGCCAGCAGCCGCGGUAAUACGGAGGGUGCAAGCGUUAAUCGGAAUUACUGGGCGUAAAGCGCACGCAGGCGGUCUGUCAAGUCGGAUGUGAAAUCCCCGGGCUCAACCUGGGAACUGCAUUCGAAACUGGCAGGCUAGAGUCUUGUAGAGGGGGGUAGAAUUCCAGGUGUAGCGGUGAAAUGCGUAGAGAUCUGGAGGAAUACCGGUGGCGAAGGCGGCCCCCUGGACAAAGACUGACGCUCAGGUGCGAAAGCGUGGGGAGCAAACAGGAUUAGAUACCCGGGUAGUC
rnacentral:rRNA from 1 species